CCAUUUUCCUCUAAAUUCUCUUUAAUUUUUCUUUCUUUUUUUUUCUUUACAUCCUUGUCUUUCUUCUACACUUCCAAAUCAAUGCUUUCAAUCGAUGUUAAACCCUGAGUACUUUCAGUCACAAAUCAAUUAAUCUCCCAAACUAGUUCCUUCCACCAGUUCGAAUCUCAGGAGCUAUAGUGAUAGAGCUCCAAAAUUUCUUUUCUCAAUUUUCAAAUCAGUAGUCGCUUUCAAUUUUAUCAGUACAGUAACCAAAUUGUAGCUCAAGCAGACAAUUCCAAUUUCAAACCCAAAUGAGUUUCAAGUUCAAGUGUGAUUCCCAUAUUGUCAAUCACGGGUACAAAUUUUGGGUGCAAACUCCCAACAGCAACGGCCCAAUGGAUUAAAUAAUCAAGCAAUUAAAAAUUUUCUAUGCGCUACAUAUAUGUUGCUUGCGUACAUAAAACCCCCAACUUUAGCUCCUAAUCACCCAUGGACAUGAAAGGCAAAUUGGAGUUGAAAUUGGCUUUAAAAACGCCACUGUUUCCAUGAAGCCUACAAACUUUACCCCAAAUGCACUAAUAGUGUGCGUGAUUUCGACCUCUAUCCUUCCGUCUAAAUUAGGGGCAAAUCAGUCAAAUAGUAUAACGUGCAGAUUCCGAUGUUGGUCUCAGCGGUGUUCGAUGGUGAUUGCUCGGACUCUUCUUCCAGAAGACUUGAGAUAGUACUACAUGGCGUUCGCAGAUCCUUAAGUCCCCUUUCCUAUCUUUAUUACUAUUUACUUUGUAUCAGACAUUUUUGUAUUUCAUUUCAGACCUUAUCUGUAGUAUUCUAGUUGCUCAUGUACUUGUGAUACCAGUUUUUGGGAAUAGUCUUAGACAUCGAUAGUUUCAGAUUUAUGACACAAUUCAGGAUGUUUUAG